rnacentral:piRNA from 1 species
CGAGCUGGAACGUUCUUUUGGUCGC